GUACGCGCUUUAGGGAUGGAAGGAAGAGGAACGCGGCAGGAAGGCGAGCCCCAAGGUGGAGAAUCGCCUGGGCGCGCAGGCUGCGGCGGCUUCGCACAGCCGCCCUGGGCGCUGCACGGGUCCGCGCGCACCCUGCUGCGCACCCACUCGCGGCCAGCUCCCUACAGAGGAGUGGAGUGACUGCUCGACUACCACCCCUCUUUUAGUGUGAGCGUCUGGAGUCCUGACCGCCCCAGCCAGCCCAGCUACGAUGAACUGUCUAAGAGGAUGUGGCAAGACCCAGAAGUAUGGGUGACCUUAUGUCAGAGGAAGUGGCUUUCUUAUUGCAGCAAAAAUUCCCGUACCAAUGUCAGUGCUAGGUAUGAAAGUUUUCAAGACGCCUACAAGUGGAAAAUGCACUCCUCCCAGCCAAAUCAAGCUUCGCCAGAUUCCUUACAGCUGUGUGCAGUGAAAUGACUAAUGAAAGAGCCCUCUGCUGCUGGUGGAACUUUCACAUAUGGCACUGUUAUGCCACUCAGCAGGACCCGACCCUGGUAUUUACAUAUUGGAUGUCACCCCAAAAGCCCCUGACCAGGGGGUUUCCGGGAUGUAAUAAGAAUGCCACUCUGGGCUUUGGAAGGUGCA
rnacentral:lncRNA from 1 species